rnacentral:rRNA from 1 species
GAACGCUGGCGGCGCGCCUAACACAUGCAAGUCGAACGAGCGAGAGAGAGCUUGCUUUCUCGAGCGAGUGGCGAACGGGUGAGUAACGCGUGAGGAACCUGCCUCAAAGAGGGGGACAACAGUUGGAAACGACUGCUAAUACCGCAUAAGCCCACGGCUCGGCAUCGAGCAGAGGGAAAAGGAGUGAUCCGCUUUGAGAUGGCCUCGCGUCCGAUUAGCUGGUUGGUGAGGUAACGGCCCACCAAGGCGACGAUCGGUAGCCGGACUGAGAGGACGACCAGCCACACUGGGACUGAGACACGGCCCAGACUCCUACGGGAGGCAGCAGGUGGGAAUUUGGACAAUGGGGGCAACCCUGAUCCAGCCAUGCCGCGUGCAGGAUGAAGGCCUUCGGGUUGUAAACUGCUUUUGUCAGGGACGAAAAGGACCGUGUUAAUACCAUGGUCUGCUGACGGUACCUGAAGAAUAAGCACCGGCUAACUACGUG